GUCUCCAUGUUGAACUCAGACCUUUACUGCAGAUGAGAUCGUUCCUUUCUGUCAUGCCAAGACUCAUUCAACCAAGUGUGAGAUAAUCUGGAGUGGCAAAAAUCAGGAAGGUGCUGCACAACUGCAGGGGAGGAGGUCGAGAUGAUAAACAGUUACCUGUCUCGUUGUGCCCUCACAACCAAGAACAUGACAAAAUCUGACUUUCAAAAAGGCUGAGGCUGAGUCUCAGAGACUGGAGGAUUUGAGCAGUGAACUGGGGUGUCCUGAGAACAGGUGCAUCAUGGGUACAUGAUGUCAGACAAUGGGCUACUGAUGAUUCUGUAGGUACCAGAUGUGAUGACCAACAUAACCUUCAGAAAUCAACUGAACAACUGUUUCUUGGUGUUCAUCAAAAAAAGCCUUUAUAAUCAGACUGGUAUGUUGAUAACUCAUCUAAUAUUUUUGUCAUUUUUAUGUCUUAUC